CAAAUACUCCCUCCGUCCGGAAAUAGUUGUCAUCAAAAUGGAUAAAAGGAAAUGUAUCUAGACGUAUUUUAGUUUUAGAUACAUCUAUUUUUAUCCAUUUUGAUGACAAGUAUUUUCGGACGGAGGGAGUAGAAA
rnacentral:pre_miRNA from 1 species